rnacentral:snRNA from 1 species
CUCAUUUCUCCACCUUUUGGCUCAGAUCAAGUGUAGUAUCUGUUCUUAACAGUUUAACAUCUGAUACAUUCUCUAUCCAAGGACAGUAUAUUAGAAUCUGA